rnacentral:rRNA from 1 species
CUCCUACGGGAGGCAGCAGUGGGGAAUUUUGCGCAAUGGGGGAAACCCUGACGCAGCAACGCCGCGUGGAGGAUGAAGCCCCUUGGGGUGUAAACUCCUUUCGAUCGGGAAGAUAAUGACGGUACCGAUAUAAGAAGCCCCGGCUAACUUCGUGCCAGCAGCCGCGGUAAUAC